rnacentral:rRNA from 1 species
AACGAACGCUGGCGGCAUGCCUAACACAUGCAAGUCGAACGAGACCUUCGGGUCUAGUUGCGCACGGGUGCGUAACGCGUGGGAACCUGCCCUUAGGUUCGGAAUAACUCCCCGAAAGGGGUGCUAAUACCGGAUAAUGUCUUCGGACCAAAGAUUUAUCGCCUUUGGAUGGGCCCGCGUUGGAUUAGCUAGUUGGUAGGGUAAAAGCCUACCAAGGCGACGAUCCAUAGCUGGUCUGAGAGGAUGAUCAGCCACACUGGGACUGAGACACGGCCCAGACUCCUACGGGAGGCAGCAGUGGGGAAUAUUGGACAAUGGGCGAAAGCCUGAUCCAGCAAUGCCGCGUGAGUGAUGAAGGCCUUAGGGUUGUAAAGCUCUUUUACCCGGGAUGAUAAUGACAGGACCGGGAGAAUAAGCUCCGGCAAACUCCGU